CCGGGCACUACUGUAAGACGUGAAAACACCCGAUCCCAUUCCGACCUCGAUAUGUGCAAUCGUCUUGCGCCAUAUGUACUGAGUUCGGGAGACAUGGUCCAAGCCCGGU
rnacentral:rRNA from 1 species